ensembl:lncRNA
UUAGGUUAUUUUUUCCCCAAGAUUCAGAGUUGAUCAAUGAAAAUUCAGUGAAGUUUCUCCAAUACUAUGUCUUGCAGAAAUAACUCUGGAUAAGCCCCCAGUUUCUAGCAUUCCUCUUAUCAAUUAGUAUUUUCCCUGUGCUUCUGUUUCUUAUUUCAAUGAGUGUUUUAGAGAGGAAGGCAGAAUUAAAUAUUCAGGACUUGGGCGAACAUAAUAACUUAGAAGUUCUAGGUAUCUUACAUUUGUUUAAUUUUCUUUCAAAGUAUGUUAAAGCAGGAAUCUGCACUGUAUCAGUAAUAUAUACAUUAAAGUUGGAACAACCUAAGAAUAAGAAUCACUUGGAGUUCCCAUUGUGGCGCAGUGGUUAACGAAUCCAACUAGGAACCAUGAGGUUGUUGCGGGUUUGAUCCCUGGCCUCACUCAGUGGGUUAAGGAUCCGGCAUUACCAUGGGCUGUAGCAUAUGUAGGCCGGCAGCUGUAGCUCUGACUGGACCCCUAGCCUGGAAACCUCCAUAAAUUGUGGGUGCAGCCCUAAAAAACAAACAAAAAAAGCAAUAAAAAAGUUUGCCAACUGAAAACCGUCACUUGCCAGAGUUCCCCUGUGGAAUGGCUGGUUAAGGAUCUGGUGUUGUCACUGCAGUGGCCUGGGUGGCUGCUGCGGCACAGAUUUGAUCCCUGGCCCACAUGCCGCAGGUGCAGCCAAAAAAAACCCCAAACCAAGCAAAACAAACAAAAAAAACUGUCACUUGCCAUCUGCCUCUACGAAGGCACUAACCACAGCAGACCUUCGGGACACAUUGAAAGAAGUUCAGGGCAGAGACUGGGAAUGAGGCAUUCCGUGCGCUGGGAAAAACUGGCAGAACAGGCCUUCAGCUAAGUAUUUUUAGAUGAUUCUAUGAGCCCAAUUUCUUGCAUCUUCUCAUAUCUGGAAAAGCACUAAAUCAUUAAUGGAAACAUUUAAUCCUCAUGACCAGCAUCAACCAACCUUCUGCCAAAAUGCCUGCCUGACUGUAUAUACACCUUUUCCAUCAAAAUCGUAUAUGUACCGACCGCCCCCCCACCACCUCUCUGGAGCAGUUCCUCAGAGAUAUCUGUGAGGCUGUCUCCAGGGCGAGAGUCCACAUUUUGCCCCCAAUAAAACUUUAACUCACAACUCUCAUGUAUUUUUUUUUUUUUUAGUCGACAGUUUUGGCAACCAACAAAAGGGAUCUACAACAGAUUCUUUUCCUUCGCCUCAACUCUACCAGGAGUUGGAACCUUGGUACCAGUAGAGGCCUCUUGUACCCGGCUGCCUCCCUGCAGAGUCCAGACGAAUUCAGAUGAGUCGCUCCCAGUUCUCAGAUCUCCUGUAUUGGUUAAUAAUCCUCAGUUUUAUUUGCAGUGUAUAACAAGUACCUGCCCCCCACCCCAGUUGAAAGAUAUACUGGGGGGUGCCCACCCAGCUGAAAGGUAUGAGGGCCUGACUGAAAGACACUGCAAAAGUAGGCUGAGUGUUGAGGUAAGAGGCUGAUCUGAUAACUUUCCCCAAUCUGGCUGCCUUAAUAAGACUUUGUUGGAAGCAAAGUGAAGAUAGUACAUAGAAGCUUUGCUCUGAAGAGAGGCCAAGACUCCUCCCCAGUCAGUUGGGGUUUUCUCAGGCAACUAAGAAACUUACAGGAGUGAUGAAGGCAGAGUCUUCAUCCCAUGCAGCAUUUGUAUAGGGAAACCCACCCAUUCAUUAAAAGACUGCUCAUCCAAGGGUCGCAUAUAAGAACUGGCCAUCAGUGAUCCGUGCACCCACCAUGGUCUUAGACCACCAAAGGGAGAAACCGAGAGAUGUGAGAGCUGAAGUGAUACUAGGGUGAUGCCCAGAGGAGUUAAGCUCACAAGUAGCACACUAGCCCACCACACAAUUUUAUCAGGAAAAUUUAUCUUUGACAAAUUCAGCUUUAAAAUGGGAAACAGGAGUUCCCAUAGUGGCUCAGUGGAAACGAACCCAACUAGUAUCCAUGAAUACGCAGGUCUGAUCCCUGGCCUCGAUCAGUAGGUUAAGUAAGGAUCUGGCUUUGCUGUGGCUGUGGUGUAGAGGUCAGCAGCUGCAGCUCCAAUUUGACCCCUAGCCGGGAACUUCCAUAUGCCAGGGGUGUGGCCCUAAAAUUUAAAAAUUAAAAACAAACAAACAAACAGGGUCUUUCAAACAGAAACCAGGACAUCAGAAAGCCAGCGUCGAGUUCCCACUGUGGCACAGUGGGUUAAGAAUACAACCGAAACAGCUCCAGUUGCUACAGAGAUAUAGGUUUGAGCCCCAACAUAGUGGAUUAAAGGAUCCAGUGUUGCCACAGCUGCAUCUGUGGCAAAGGUGGAAGCUGUGGCUUGGAUUCAGUCCCUGGCCUGGAAACUUCCACAUGCCACAGGUGCAGCCAUUAAAAAAAAAAAAA